UUUUGAAAUCCAAAUAUAUAAAAGGUAAAGCUGACUGACCAAUCUAUCAACGCACAGCCCUAACUACUGGACGGAUCGCGCUGAAAUUUGACAUU